UACAGUCUGUGCAUCUCGACAACCGAAAGCUUUAAUAACCCGAACAAUCUUUUAUUAGGGAUUUACGCUCGCCUUAUGGGUAUGCAGACCUCCCGCUUUUAUGCGGACGUUGGUAGCACAAAGUAAUGCGGCUAAAACCCACCUGCUUUAAUAUGCAGGUUAUUCUCAGUUUUCGGCGGAUGUGCGGAUUUUUU
rnacentral:other from 1 species